AGAGUUUGAUCAUGGCUCAGAACGAACGCUGGCGGCAUGCCUAACACAUGCAAGUCGAACGAGACCUUCGGGUCUAGUGGCGCACGGGUGCGUAACGCGUGGGAAUCUGCCCUUCGGUUCGGAACAACAGUUAGAAAUGACUGCUAAUACCGGAUAAUGACGUAAGUCCAAAGAUUUAUCGCCGAAGGAUGAGCCCGCGUAAGAUUAGGUAGUUGGUGGGGGUAAUGGCCUACCAAGCCGACGAUCUUUAGCUGGUCUGAGAGGAUGAUCAGCCACACUGGGACUGAGACACGGCCCAGACUCCUACGGGAGGCAGCAGUGGGGAAUAUUGGACAAUGGGCGAAAGCCUGAUCCAGCAAUGCCGCGUGAGUGAUGAAGGCCUUAGGGUUGUAAAGCUCUUUUACCAGGGAUGAUAAUGACAGUACCUGGAGAAUAAGCUCCGGCUAACUCCGUG
rnacentral:rRNA from 1 species